GCAGUUGUGGCCUAAUGGUUAGAGAGUUGGCCUCGCAACCAAAGGUUGUGGGUUCAAGUCUGGCAGGGAUUGUA